rnacentral:rRNA from 1 species
CCUACGGGAGGCAGCAGUGGGGAAUAUUGCGCAAUGAGCGAAAGCCUGACGCAGCGACGCCGCGUGAGGGAUGAAGGUCUUCGGAUCGUAAACCUCUGUCAGCAGGGAAGAACGGUCACUGUGCUAAUCAGCAGUGAAUUGACGGUACCUGCAAAGGAAGCACCGGCUAACUCCGUGCCAGCAGCCGCGGUAAUACGGAGGGUGCGAGCGUUAAUCGGAAUUAUUGGGCGUAAAGCGCUCGUAGGCGGUAUGUCAAGUCAAGGGUGAAAUCCCCGGGCUCAACGUGGGAACUGCCUUUGAAACUAGCAAACUGGAGUUUGUGAGAGGAUAGUGGAAUUCCAGGUGAAGGAGUGAAAUCCGUAGAUAUAUGGAAGAACAUCAGAGGCGAAGGCGACUAUCUGGCACAUAACUGACGCUGAGGGGCGAAAGCGUGGGUAGCAAACAGGAUUAGAUACCCUGGUAGUC